AAAAAUGACUCUCGGCAACGGAUAUCUCGGCUCUUGCAUCGAUGAAGAACGUAGCGAAAUGCGAUACUUGGUGUGAAUUGCAGAAUCCCGUGAACCAUCGAGUCUUUGAACGCAAGUUGCGCCCAAAGCCAUUUGGUUGAGGGCACGCCUGCCUGGGUGUCGUU
rnacentral:rRNA from 1 species